AAAACUCUUUUUACGGUUAUUUCUCCUGAAAGCCAAUUUAGAGGAUUAAACAUUUGGAAGGCCUGUUGAAAUAACAGAAACUAAAACAUGAUAGUUCUUUAGCAGAUCUGUCAUCUUCCAAGUUUAGUGGAAUUUAAUCAGAUAUAAGGCUUUGGGAUCGACUGCUUUCUUAUCCUACCCUCCCCCUGCUGAAAGGCAGGCUGCAUUUACCAUGCCUAGAUGUUGGAAAUUGUCCCCGUGCCCUCCUUCUUUAACCACUGUAUUUUUAUGUUCACUUACAAGAGCCCAGGAUGUCCUCCCUUAUAUUACUACAUCUUUGCUUCUUCCUGCUGUUUCCUGAGUGCCUGGUCAGAUGUUAUUACCCUUUGGGAACAGUUUCCAUUGCCAGGAAGUGCUGUGUACCCUAAGCUGGCCUGGUGCCUGCCUUUCCUCGGUUCCUACUCAGCCACUCACUAAAGAACAGCCAAGUUUUUGUAUGCAGUGUCUCAGUGUUGGCUAAGGUCGGCCUUCUGGGUAUAUAUAUGCAAGCUGGAAAGCGGUGCAUGUUUAAAUUUCUGUCCAUUACUAAUAGGACUGGGUGGUGGGUCCUGACC
rnacentral:lncRNA from 1 species